rnacentral:rRNA from 1 species
GAUGAACGCUGGCGGCGUGCCUAAUACAUGCAAGUCGAGCGAACGGACGAGAAGCUUGCUUCUCUGAUGUUAGCGGCGGACGGGUGAGUAACACGUGGAUAACCUACCUAUAAGACUGGGAUAACUUCGGGAAACCGGCGCUAAUACCGGAUAAUAUUUUGAACCGCAUGGUUCAAAAGUGAAAGACGGUCUUGCUGUCACUUAUAGAUGGAUCCGCGCUGCAUUAGCUAGUUGGUAAGGUAACGGCUUACCAAGGCAACGAUGCAUAGCCGACCUGAGAGGGUGAUCGGCCACACUGGAACUGAGACACGGUCAAGACUCCUACGGGAGGCAGCAGUAGGGAAUCUUCCGCAAUGGGCGAAAGCCUGACGGAGCAACGCCGCGUGAGUGAUGAAGGUCUUCGGAUCGUAAAACUCUGUUAUUAGGGAAGAACAUAUGUGUAAGUAACUGUGCACAUCUUGACGGUACCUAAUCAGAAAGCCACGGCUAACUACGUG